CCCAAAACUUUAUUUUACCUUCAUGAACAUAACCGCCACCACCGGCGACGCUGAAAGAUCCAAAAUUUGGUGUGUCUCGUCUCUCCGGCGACGAUAAUCAUCCACAAAAAGCAGAAGUGCUUGGAACGUUAAACGGGCCAUUUAAUUUGACUAAUCGUUCAUGUUGACGGAGGAUCGGAUUCUGAAUCCCAGAUAAAUGAAUUAGAGAGCAUGCCGGAACGGGAAGUGAAGAAACGGGAGGAAAUACAAGCCAAUCUUCUUGGAAAAAUGAAUGAUCUUUUGAAGCAAUUCACAGGAAGAUAAAAGGUAAUAUUGAAAUAAUUUGAUAUUUUAAGGGUUAAUUGUGAGAAAUAACAACCUAUUUUACCAAAGUUCUUGAUUAUGACAUCAUACAUUAUGAAGUAGCAAUCUACUUUCAUACAAGUUGUAAUUAGGAAUUAUGGCAAUAGUACAUUGCUAUUAUGAGUAAAAAUAUAAAGUAUUUUGUAUAAUCGUGAAAAAACUGAAAUGGUUUCUAUUUUAUGAUUA